GGGACACCUAAUGCAAGAUCCUACUGUUGAAGAACUUGUGAACCAAGGCAGAGAAAGCAUGGAACUUUAUCAGUCCAGAGGCUCACGCCUGUGAACCUAUCAAGUUUUGUAAUAUGUCCCAAAUUUAGGUUGAAACUCGAGGCCCUCUUUAUCAUGGACCAAAGUUGAUGAUAUCAAAUGUGUAACAUAAACAAGACACAAGCAAAUUCUUGGAGCAGUCCAAGACGCUGGUUAGAGAUAGGUAAUCAAGACGCAAAUGAACAAAACUGUUUACUUUGGAGUUGGAGCAAUGGCCAAGAUUCGUGACCUCUUGAUUACUGAAGACGUUACCUCGAGAUCUUUUUAGAUGUAAUUCAUUCCCACUUUUGU
rnacentral:misc_RNA from 1 species